GGCUCAGGAUGAACGCUAGCUACAGGCUUAACACAUGCAAGUCGAGGGGCAGCAUGAACUUAGCUUGCUUCAAUUGCCGGCGACCGGCGCACGGGUGAGUAACGCGUAUCCAACCUUCCGUACACUCAGGGAUAGCCUUUCGAAAGAAAGAUUAAUACCUGAUGGUAUGAUGAGAUCGCAUGGUAUCAUCAUUAAAGAUUUAUCGGUGUACGAUGGGGAUGCGUUCCAUUAGGUAGUAGGCGGGGUAACGGCCCACCUAGCCUACGAUGGAUAGGGGUUCUGAGAGGAAGGUCCCCCACAUUGGAACUGAGACACGGUCCAAACUCCUACGGGAGGCAGCAGUGAGGAAUAUUGGUCAAUGGACGAGAGUCUGAACCAGCCAAGUAGCGUGAAGGAUGAAGGUCCUACGGAUUGUAAACUUCUUUUAUAAGGGAAUAAAACCUCCCACGUGUGGGAGCUUGUAUGUACCUUAUGAAUAAGCAUCGGCUAACUCCGUG
rnacentral:rRNA from 1 species